CCUACGGGAGGCAGCAGUGAGGAAUAUUGGUCAAUGGGCGCGAGCCUGAACCAGCCAAGCAGCGUGAAGGAUGACUGCCCUACGGGUUGUAAACUUCUUUUAUAAAGGAAUAAAGUGAGGCUCGUGUGCCUUUUUGUAUGUACUUUCUGAAUAAGGAUCGGCUAACUCCUUGCCAGCAGCCGCGGUAAUACGGAGGAUCCGAGCGUUAUCCGGAAUUAUUGGGUUUAAAGGGAGCGUAGAUGGGUUGUUAAGUCAGUUGUGAAAGUUUGCGGCUCAACCGUAAAAUUGCAAUUGAUACUGGAAGUCUUGAGUACAGUUGAGGUAGGCGGAAUUCGUGGUGUAGCGGUGAAAUGCUUAGAUAUCACGAAGAACUCCGAUGGCGAAGGCAGCUUACUAAACUGCAACUGACAUUGAUGCUCGAAAGUGUGGGUAUCAAACAGGAUUAGAUACCCGGGUAGUC
rnacentral:rRNA from 1 species